GACGAACGCUGGCGGCGUGCUUAACACAUGCAAGUCGAACGGAAAGGCCCUGCUUUUGUGGGGUGCUCGAGUGGCGAACGGGUGAGUAACACGUGAGUAACCUGCCCUUGACUUUGGGAUAACUUCAGGAAACUGGGGCUAAUACCGGAUAGGAGCUCCUGCUGCAUGGUGGGGGUUGGAAAGUUUCGGCGGUUGGGGAUGGACUCGCGGCUUAUCAGCUUGUUGGUGGGGUAGUGGCUUACCAAGGCUUUGACGGGUAGCCGGCCUGAGAGGGUGACCGGCCCCAUUGGCCCUCGGGAGCGGCCCGGGCCCUAUCGGGGGGCAGGGGUGGGGACUUUUUCCCAAGGGGCGGAGGCCUGGUGCACCAACCCCGGGUGGGGGAGGACGGCUUUUGGGUUGUAAACCGUUUUCGCCUUGAACGAGCCGGUGGUACCGGUAAGGGGGAAAGAACCCCCGCUUACCUCCUU
rnacentral:rRNA from 1 species